rnacentral:rRNA from 1 species
AGAGUUUGAUCCUGGCUCAGAUUGAACGCUGGCGGCAUGCCUUACACAUGCAAGUCGAACGGCAGCAUGACGUGUAGCAAUACACGUUGAUGGCGAGUGGCGAACGGGUGAGUAAUAUAUCAGAACGUGUCCUGUAGCGGGGGGAUAACCUAUCGAAAGAUGGACUAAUACCGCAUACGCUCUACGGAGGAAAGCGGGGGUCGCAAGACCUCGCACUAUAGGAGCGGCCGAUAUCGGAUUAGCUAGUUGGCGGGGUAAAAGCCCACCAAGGCGACGAUCCGUAGCUGGUCUGAGAGGAUGAUCAGCCACACUGGAACUGAGACACGGUCCAGACUCCUACGGGAGGCAGCAGUGGGGAAUUUUGGACAAUGGGCGCAAGCCUGAUCCAGCCAUGCCGCGUGAGUGAAGAAGGCCUUCGGGUUGUAAAGCUCUUUCGGCAGGAACGAAAUGGUUCGUGUUAAUACCACGGACUGAUGACGGUACCUGAAGAAGAAGCACCGGCUAACUACGUGCCAGCAGCCGCGGUAAUACGUAGGGUGCAGGCGUUAAUCGGAAUUACUGGGCGUAAAGCGUGCGCAGGCGGUUUCUUAAGUCAGAUGUGAAAGCCCCGGGCUUAACCUGGGAACUGCGUUUGAAACUGGGAGACUUGAGUGUGGCAGAGGGGGGUGGAAUUCCACGUGUAGCAGUGAAAUGCGUAGAUAUGUGGAGGAACACCGAUGGCGAAGGCAGCCCCCUGGGUUAACACUGACGCUCAUGCACGAAAGCGUGGGGAGCAAACAGGAUUAGAUACCCUAGUAGUCC